UUCAGUCCCAGAACAGCACGUUCCGCUCAGUUCCCUCUGGUAUGCCCCACCCUGAUCACAGGCUUUCCACUUGGUUUCAUGGAGCGUAAGAUUGUUUCCAGUCAACUAAAACUCACCAGGCACUAGAAGAAGCUCUUGGAGGUGUCCAGUUGCUUGCAUGGGACAAUCUAUGUCUUAGCCAAGUGGAAAUGGAACUCACAAACACAACACCAUUUAUACAUUAAAAAAACUUUUAUGGA